AACGUAGGACGCAAGCGUUAUCCGGAGUUACUGGGCGUAAAGCGCGAGCAGGCGGCUUCUUAAGUCUGAUGUGAAAGCGCCCGGCUCAACCGGGCGAGGCCAUUGGAAACUAGGGAGCUGGAGGGCAGUAGAGGCAGGCGGAAUUCCGGGUGGAGUGGUGAAAUGCGGUAGAGAUCGGGAGGAACACCCGUGGCGAAGGCGGCCAGCUGGACCGGACCCUGACGCUGGAGGCGCCGAAGGCGUGGGGAGCGAACGGG
rnacentral:rRNA from 1 species